UACGUAGGGAGCAAGCGUUGUCCGGAAUCAUUGGGCGUAAAGCGCGCGUAGGUGGCUUCGUAAGUCCGUUGUGAAAGUCAAAGGCUCAACCUUUGAAAGCCGAUGGAUACUGUGGAGCUAGAGUACGGAAGAGGCAGGUGGAAUUCCGGGUGUAGCGGUGGAAUGCGUAGAGAUCCGGAAGAACACCGGUGGCGAAGGCGGCCUGACUGGGCUAUGGCUGACACUGAGGCGCGAC
rnacentral:rRNA from 1 species